rnacentral:rRNA from 1 species
AUUGAACGCUGGCGGCAGGCCUAACACAUGCAAGUCGAGCGGAUGACGGGAGCUUGCUCCUUGAUUCAGCGGCGGACGGGUGAGUAAUGCCUAGGAAUCUGCCUGGUAGUGGGGGACAACGUUUCGAAAGGAACGCUAAUACCGCAUACGUCCUACGGGAGAAAGCAGGGGACCUUCGGGCCUUGCGCUAUCAGAUGAGCCUAGGUCGGAUUAGCUAGUAGGUGAGGUAAUGGCUCACCUAGGCGACGAUCCAUAACUGGUCUGAGAGGAUGAUCAGUCACCCUGGAACGGAGACACGGUCCAGACUCCUACGGGAGGCAGCAGUGGGGAAUAUUGGACAAUGGGCGAAAGCCUGAUCCAGCCAUGCCGCGUGUGUGAAGAAGGUCUUCGGAUUGUAAAGCACUUUAAGUUGGGAGGAAGGGCAGUAAGUUAAUACCUUGCUGUUUUGACGUUACCGACAGAAUAAGCACCGGCUAACUCUGUGCCAGCCGCCGCCGUAA